rnacentral:rRNA from 1 species
CACGCCAUAAACGAUGAGCACUAGGUGUCGCGGGUAUUGACCCCUGCGGUGCCGCCGCUAACGCAUUAAGUGCUCCGCCUGGGGACUACGGCCGCAAGGUUAAAACUCAAAGGAAUUGAC